rnacentral:rRNA from 1 species
AUUGAACGCUGGCGGCAGGCUUAACACAUGCAAGUCGAGCGGAGAUGAGGUGCUUGCACCUUAUCUUAGCGGCGGACGGGUGAGUAAUGCUUAGGAAUCUGCCUAUUAGUGGGGGACAACAUUCCGAAAGGAAUGCUAAUACCGCAUACGUCCUACGGGAGAAAGCAGGGGAUCUUCGGACCUUGCGCUAAUAGAUGAGCCUAAGUCGGAUUAGCUAGUUGGUGGGGUAAAGGCCUACCAAGGCGACGAUCUGUAGCGGGUCUGAGAGGAUGAUCCGCCACACUGGGACUGAGACACGGCCCAGACUCCCACGGGAGGCAGCAGUGGGGAAUAUUGGACAAUGGGCGGAAGCCUGAUCCAGCCAUGCCGCGUGUGUGAAGAAGGCCUUUUGGUUGUAAAGCACUUUAAGCGAGGAGGAGGCUACCUAGAUUAAUACUCUGGGAUAGUGGACGUUACUCGCAGAAAAAGCACCGGCUAACUCUGUGCCAGCAGCCGCCGUAAGAC